UACGGGGGGGGCAAGCGUUGUUCGGAAUUACUGGGCAUAAAGGGCUCGUAGGCGGCCAACUAAGUCAGACGUGAAAUCCCUCAGCUUAACUGGGGAACUGCGUCUGAUACUGGAUGGCUCGAGUGUGGGAGAGGAAUGCGGAAUUCCAGGUGUAGCGGUGAAAUGCGUAGAUAUCUGGAGGAACACCGGUGGCGAAGGCGGCAUUCUGGACCAUAACUGACACUGAGAGACGAAAGCCAGGGGAGCAAACGGG
rnacentral:rRNA from 1 species